rnacentral:lncRNA from 1 species
UGGGUGUCUUACCGUUCGCUGCAGAAAUAUAUCCUUCCCUGUGUAGGCUAAGGUGUUCUGGUCUGUGCUUUGAGUCACAUAGUGAAACCAUAGCAAAACGGAGGAGUUACACUGCCAAGAACCAGCAAUUUAAAAGAUUUCACUCUCGCCUCAUGCGCCAAGACAUUAAAUGCCAUUUUCUCUAUUUUAAAGAAGGCAGUGGCCACAGUGAAGGAAAAAUAAAGCGCUCUACUACCACCUGCUUGGCUGGGAGAUCAGUCCUGACUUCUGCUCUGAAUCUCAAGGCCACCCGGGGCUCUGCUUUUCCACUGCCCUGUCAGCCAGCAGGGGAAGGACAAGCGACCUGUUGGUACGGAGCUGGCUCCAUCGACUUCUGACCCCCAGGGGUUCCAAGAAGCUGGGAGCCAGGGUGGCCCCAUGCAGGAGAUGGGAUGAGGAUGCCAUCACUGUAUGCUGUUGUUUGAUUUAAGAAAGGAAAAAUACAGCAGCAUCCCUGCAAGAGCUCCUGGCACGCUUGUCGAUCUGGAAUUCAGUGUUCACAAAGACAGGCAUCCUCUGGCGAGAGGUGAAGGUACCCAACCAGCCCUUCCCCAACUCCAUGCUCCUGAGCAUUGCUGUGGGCAGGCACCCACCCAGAGGAAGGAGGAGGAGGAAGAGGAGGAGGAGGAGGAGGAGGAAGCACCACAAUCACAUUGUUUCUUCUGAGCAUCCCGGCUCUGCUCCACCCCACCUGACAAGGCGCUUUAAUGGAUAGGCAGUGGCCUUUGGUGGAGGAGCUAAAUUUAAAACUUUCCUCUGCUUCUCUUGUCAAAGUUAAAAGCUUUUCAUGUCUGUGUUAAUGUUUUUAGUUUUUUUUUUUUUCCCCUGUCUGCUGGCAUCAAU